rnacentral:rRNA from 1 species
AUUGAACGCUGGCGGCAGGCCUAACACAUGCAAGUCGAACGGUAACAGGAAACAGCUUGCUGUUUCGCUGACGAGUGGCGGGCGGGUGAGUAAUGUCUGGGAAACUGCCUGAUGGAGGGGGAUAACUACUGGAAACGGUAGCUAAUACCGCAUAACGUCGCAAGACCAAAGAGGGGGACCUUCGGGCCUCUUGCCAUCGGAUGUGCCCAGAUGGGAUUAGCUAGUAGGUGGGGUAACGGCUCACCUAGGCGACGAUCCCUAGCUGGUCUGAGAGGAUGACCAGCCACACUGGAACUGAGACACGGUCCAGACUCCUACGGGAGGCAGCAGUGGGGAAUAUUGCACAAUGGGCGCAAGCCUGAUGCAGCCAUGCCGCGUGUAUGAAGAAGGCCUUCGGGUUGUAAAGUACUUUCAGCGGGGAGGAAGGGAGUAAAGUUAAUACCUUUACUCAUUGACGUUACCCGCAGAAGAAGCACCGGCUAACUCCGUG